rnacentral:rRNA from 1 species
GACGAACGCUGGCGGCGUGCCUAAUACAUGCAAGUCGACCUUAGUGGCGAACGGGUGAGUCACACGUGGGUAACCUGCCCAUUAGAAGGGGAUAAUACUUGGAAACAGGUGCUAAUACCGUAUACUGAUGGAUGGACCCGCGGUGCAUUGGCUGGUUUUUAAGGUAACGGCUCACCAAGGCCACGAUGCAUAGCCGACCUGAGAGGGUGGUCGGCCACAUUGGGACGGAGACAGGGCCCACAUGCCUACGGGAGGCAGCAGUAGGGAAUCUUCGGCAAUGGACGAAAGUCUGACCGAGCAACGCCGCGUGAGUGAAGAAGGUUUUCGGAUCGUAAGACUCUGGUGUUAGAGAAGCGGUAGCUAACCAGAAAGCCACGGCUAACUACGUGCCAGCAGCCGCGGUAAUAC